rnacentral:lncRNA from 1 species
GUUUUUCUUUUCUUUUUCUUUUUUUAGAAGAACUGGUUUAAUGAAGAUAAUUUAAGUGUAGGUAAAUAUAUUAUUCUGACAUGCACUUCAUUUCAGAAGGUGGCGGUAAUGCAACCGGACGUUGUUUGCCAACUGCCAUAACAAGAAGAAGAACAUUAAGGUUCAAGUGAUUUCAGAGCUAUGGAAGACGGUAUUUUGAUUUUAAGUUCAUAAUGGAGUAUCGAAAAUACCUUACCACGGGUGCAGCAGUUCCUGCGCGAACAGCACGUCGAUGGAAAAGGUCAGCGGCAUGUCCAGGCUCCCCAAGGAGAAAAAAAUGAUCCUGCACUCGUCUCCUCUGAUCCUGUACUGAACUCACAUGGUCCUGGUCCUGCACUCGACUCCCGUCAUCCUGGUCCUUCCCUCGACUCACUUAAUCCUGAUCCUGCACUCGUCUCCUGUGAUCCUGCACUCGACUCACAUGAUCCUGCACUCGUCUCCUCUGAUCCUGCACUGAACUCACAUGGUCCUGAUCCUGCACUCGUCUCCUGUGAUCCUGGUCCUGCACUCGACUCACGUGAUCCUGAUCUCGCACGAGUCUCCUGUGAUCCUGCACUUGUGUCGCCUGAUCCUAAUUCUGCACUCAUUAGUACUAUAUCGGUCUGUGAAGAACCUCCCCUCUCAUUCAUACCACCAGUCCACCAAACCUCUACAAACACUUCCUGUGCAAAUGGGCAGGUAUGGCAAACUGCUACUGUCGAGGAUACAAGAAAACAGCACGAGUUGCUACUUCUUGCUUUAAAACUCAAGCAUGGACUGACUGAUGAAGCUUUAGAAGACACACUUAAAGUUGUUAACGUUAUAAGUCAGAGGCAUGCUGUGUCAUCUACCAAACAUCACUUUUACAAAACUUUUGAUGACUUGAAAAGUAAUAUUCAGUUUCACUACAUAUGUGAGGGAUGCACAAUUUCUGUAAACAUUGAGGGAGAAAAAGUGGUUUGUCCUAACUGUCAAUAUUCUUGUAGUGUAGCCGAUCACAUGAAACAGGGGCACUUUAUUGUUUUUCCACUAGAAUCACAAUUAAGGAAUAUGAUGGAACAAGAGGAACUCUUCAGCCAGUUGACUAGGCCUAACAGUGGUGCUCACUCUAGCCCACUGACAGAUAUCACCGAUGGUGAGCUUUACAAGAGGGUUAACGGAAAUAUUGAAGGCCAAUCUGAGCAUCACGUCAAUCUCACACUAACCUUUAGCUGUGACGGGGUACCUGUGUUUAAGAAAUCUUCUUACAGUAUUUGGCCACUUAGUAAGAAUACUGCCUGCACAUGUCUGAAUGUGGAAUGUCACUUAAUAGUUAAGAAUAUUGUCUGUACUUCAAAAUGUCAUGUAAUGAAAUGCCAGUUAAUAGAAAUGUUGUAUGUACUUGUCUGAAUAGUUUAAAAAGAUGAUACUUAAUGUACGUAUGUAUGUAAUGUAAUACCUCAAACGCCAAUAUUUAAAAUUUAAUG